rnacentral:rRNA from 1 species
GCAGAACGCGAAGAACCUUACCCACACUUGACAUCCCUCUUGGGACUUCCAGAGAUGAGUAGUUUUCGGUUCGGCCGGGGAGGAGACAGGUGCUGCAUGGCUGUCGUCAGCUCGUGUCGUGAGAUGUUGGGUUAAGUCCCGCAACGAGCGCAACCCUUAUCGUCUGUUGCCAUCAUUAAGUUGGGCACUCUGACGAGACCGCCGGUGACAAGCCGGAGGAAGGUGGGGACGACGUCAAGUCAUCAUGGCCCUUACGUGUGGGGCUACAAACGUGCUACAAUGGUGGUGACAGUGAGCAGCGAGGUCGCGAGGCCAAGCUAAUCUCCAAAAGCUCUCUCAGUUCAGAUUGUAGUCUGCAACUCGACUACAUGAAGUUGGAAUCGCUAGUAAUCGCAAAUCAGCAUGUUGCGGUGAAUACGUUCCCGGGUCUUGUACACACCG